rnacentral:rRNA from 1 species
GAGUUCUAUAACUCCCAAACCCAUGUGAACAUACCUAACGUUGCCUCGGCAGGUCGCACCUACCUUGUAGCACCCUACCCUGUAGGGCCUACCCGGGAGGUGCGGGUAAGCCUGCCGGCGGCCCACCAAACUCUGUUUGAUAUUGAAUUCUGAACCUAUAACUAAAUAAGUUAAAACUUUCAACAACGGAUCUCUUGGUUCUGGCAUCGAUGAAGAACGCAGCGAAAUGCGAUAAGUAAUGUGAAUUGCAGAAUUCAGUGAAUCAUCGAAUCUUUGAACGCAUAUUGCGCCCAUUAGUAUUCUAGUGGGCAGGACCGUUCGAGCGUCAUUUCAACCCUUAAGCCUUCGUUGCUUAGUGUUGGGAGCCUACGGCAACGUAGCUCCUCAAAGUUAGUGGCGGAGUUGGUUCACACUCUAGACGUAGUAAUUUUUUAUCUCGCCUAUUAGUUGGACUAAUCCCCUGCCGUAAAACCCCCAAUUUAUCAAGGUUGACCUCGAAUCGGUUCAGACAAACU